rnacentral:misc_RNA from 1 species
UUCAUCCCGCAACGCACCGGCUCCAAGAGACACAAUUUCUCAAACCCUGUCUUCACAAAUAUCUUCCCAUAUACUGUCCCUUUGUGGUCUGGUUAUGGUUGUGGUUACCCCGCGGUUCAGUUGAUGGCCUUCCGUAUGUCCCCCCGGAUAGAUAAACGACCUCAUGAGCGGUGCCCUGGCACCUAUGGCACCUCCGGCCAUGGGCAGUUCAGGGCGUCCCGCUGGCCGCACGGUGGAUUGCAGGACAGGGUCACCUCUCGGAGGACCGGCUUCUGGACACCCAAUUCGCUUGGCGCUCAGGUACAACAUCUAAUUGGGGAGUGGCU